GCACUGGUGGUUCAGUGGUAGAAAUUCUUGCCUUCCAUGCUGGAGACCGGGCUCAAUUCCUGACCAAUGCA
rnacentral:tRNA from 1 species